UUUUUUUUUUUUUUUUUUUAAAUAUAUAUAUAUUUGGGCUUCUUAAAGCCCAAAUAUAGAUUUAGAGAAAAAUAAUUGGACGACCUGUCGUUGGAGAGUGGAGAUAGCGGCCACCGCUAAAUUAGGAUUUGAGUACGGAGGUUUUGAAAAUGAUGACUUUUCUCUCGUUGCUCUUGAAUGACAUGGAAAAGUUUCCCUCGUCGCCAGAGAAAUCCAUCGAAAGCACUUGUCGUACGGAGUCAGCAGUCGUUCUCUCUAUCUCCACCACUGCUCCACCAUUAACCCAACCGGAUUUCAACAAUAUCUGCAUAACAACAGUUGUAAUUAAUAAUAUAUACAAGUUAGUAGCAGAGCUAGUGAAUGAAAUAAGCAAAACAGCAACAUGAAGACAAGUCUGAUCGAAACCAUCAACUUGAAUCAACUGAGGCCGCUGCAAAAGGAGUUCCACCAGCCCAAGAUGCCCAUGGCGACAAGCCAAGAAAAGUGGAGUCUGGUUCUUUUUAUUAAUCUUAUUAUGUGCGGCUUCGACAUUGACACCAAUCAAAAGCUUUAACAUUUCAGGAUUGCAAUGGCGACAGGCUAAAUGAAAUGGAGUGUCGCCUUUUCCAUCCUGUGCUGCAACCAGUUCAGGACACAGCUCCAU